AUGCACACUUUGACAGCACAUAUACUAAAAUUCCAGUGACACAGAGAAGUUUAGAAUAGCCCUUGUGGAUGUAUGACAUACAAAUUCAUAAAGGUUUAAUUUUUUUC
ensembl:snRNA U6 U6 spliceosomal RNA